rnacentral:rRNA from 2 species
CGAUGUCGACAGCCGUUGGGUGCCUAGCGCACUUUGUGGCGAAGUUAACGCGAUAAGUCGACCGCCUGGGGAGUACGGCCGCAAGGUUAAAACUCAAAUGAAUUGACGGGGGCCCGCACAAGCGGUGGAGCAUGUGGUUUAAUUCGAUGCAACGCGAAGAACCUUACCUACUCUUGACAUCCUGCGAAUUCGGUAGAGAUACCUUAGUGCCUUCGGGAACGCAGAGACAGGUGCUGCAUGGCUGUCGUCAGCUCGUGUUGUGAAAUGUUGGGUUAAGUCCCGUAACGAGCGCAACCCUUGUCCUUAUUUGCCAGCGCGUAAUGGCGGGAACUCUAAGGAGACUGCCGGUGACAAACCGGAGGAAGGUGGGGACGACGUCAAGUCAUCAUGGCCCUUACGAGUAGGGCUACACACGUGCUACAAUGGUCGGUACAAAGGGUUGCGAGCUCGCGAGAGUCAGCCAAUCCCGAAAAGCCGAUCUCAGUCCGGAUCGGAGUCUGCAACUCGACUCCGUGAAGUCGGAAUCGCUAGUAAUCGUAGAUCAGAAUGCUACGGUGAAUACGUUCCCGGGCCUUGUACACACCGCCCGUCACACCAUGGGAGUGGACUGCACCAGAAGUGGUUAGCCUAACGCAAGAGGGCGAUCACCACGGUGUGGUUCAUGACUGGGGUGAAGUCG